rnacentral:rRNA from 1 species
UACGGGGGGGGUAAGCGUUGUUCGGAAUUACUGGGCGUAAAGGGCUCGUAGGCGGCCAACUAAGUCAUACGUGAAAUCCCUCAGCUUAACUGGGGAACUGCGUGUGAUACUGGAUGGCUUGGAUUUGGGAGAGGGAUGCGGAAUUCCAGGUGUAGCGGUGAAAUGCGUAGAUAUCAGGAGGAACACCAAUGGCGAAGGCAGCUCACUGGGACGGUAUUGACGCUGAGACGCGAAAGCGUGGGGAGCAAACAGG